rnacentral:rRNA from 1 species
AACGAACGCUGGCGGCAUGCCUAACACAUGCAAGUCGAACGAGAUCUUCGGGUCUAGUGGCGCACGGGUGCGUAACGCGUGGGAAUCUGCCCUUUGGUUCGGAAUAACAGUUGGAAACGACUGCUAAUACCGGAUGAUGACGAAAGUCCAAAGAUUUAUCGCCAGAGGAUGAGCCCGCGUAGGAUUAGCUAGUUGGUGUGGUAAAGGCGCACCAAGGCGACGAUCCUUAGCUGGUCUGAGAGGAUGAUCAGCCACACUGGGACUGAGACGCGGCCCAGACUCCUACGGGAGGCAGCAGUGGGGAAUAUUGGACGAUGGGCGAAAGCCUGAUCCAGCAAUGCCGCGUGAGUGAUGAAGGCCUUAGGGUAGUAAAGCUCUUUUACCCGGGAUGAUAAUGACAGUACCGGGAGAAUAAGCUCCGGCUAACUCCGUGCCAGCCGCCGCCGUAA